rnacentral:misc_RNA from 1 species
AAGUCGUAACAAGGUAACCGUAGGUGAACCUGCGGUUGGAUCAUUAUUGAUUAAACCUUAGCUUGGAAGUUGAGACUCUAACGAGACUCCUUUCAGGUUAAAUUACACUGUGUGCACUGUAAAUGUUUUUCGAGUUUUGAAGUAUUCAAUGAGUAGUGGUUAACGUAACAGUUUACCGUGAAAUUUGACAAAGCUUGGUUAACUUUUAGUUAAUUCAGGUUCAAUUUGUUAGUAAUCGUAAUGGCGAAAGUGAUUUUGAAUCUAGGUUGAUUAAAGUUAAUCAAGUAUAGAAAUGUUUGCAUUUUACUAGAAACUCGGCUUUAUUAACCAACUACUUUAACAUUUGUCUUAGAAAUUUUUGUAAAAAGAAAUUAAUACAACUUUUAACAACGGAUCUCUAGGCUCUC